GCAGGUUUUUUUACGGGACGGGUU
rnacentral:siRNA from 1 species